AGCAGCCGCGGUAAUUCCAGCUCCAAUAGCGUAUAUUAAAGUUGUUGCAGUUAAAAAGCUCGUAGUUGAAUUUCGGGGGUCAGCAGGUCGGUCGUGCCACUGGUAUGAACUGGUCUCGCUGAUCCCUCCCUCUUGACGAACUGUGAUGCCAUUAAUUUGGUGUCGCAGGGAAUCAGGACUGUUACUUUGAAAAAAUUGAGUGUUUAAAGCAGGCUUAAGCUUGAAUACAUUAGCAUGGAAUAAUGAAAUAGGACGUUUGAUCCUAUUUUGUUGGUUUCUAGGAUUGACGUAAUGAUUAAUAGGGAUAGUUGGGGGCAUUAGUAUUCAAUUGUCAGAGGUGAAAAUUCUUGGAUUUAUUGAAGACUAACUACUGCGAAAGCAUUUGCCGAGGAUGUUUUCAUUAAUCAAGAACGAAAGUUAGGGAUCGAAGACGAUCAGAUACCGUCGUAGUCUUAACCAUAAACUAUGCCGACUAGGAUCGGAUGAUGUUAAUUUUUAAUGUACUCAUUC
rnacentral:rRNA from 1 species